AGGGAAUAUUGCGCAAUGGACGGAAGUCUGACGCAGCGACGCCGCGUGAGCGAUGAAGGCCUUCGGGUCGUAAAGCUCUGUCCUUGGGGAAGAAGGUCUUCGGACUUGACGGUACCCAAGAAGAAAGCCCCGGCUAACUACGUGCCAGCAGCCGCGGUAAUACGUAGGGGGCGAGCAUUGUCCGGAAUUACUGGGCGUAAAGGGUGCGUAGGCGGCCCUUUAAGUCAGAUGUGAAAGGCCACGGCUUAACCGUGGGAUUGCAUUUGAAACUGGAGGGCUUGAGUGUCGGAGAGGGUAGUGGAAUUCCCGGUGUAGCGGUGAAAUGCGUAGAUAUUGGGAGGAACACCAGUGGCGAAGGCGACUACCUGGACGAUAACUGACGCUGAGGCACGAAAGCUAGGGGAGCAAAC
rnacentral:rRNA from 1 species